GAUGAACGCUGGCGGCGUGCCUAAUACAUGCAAGUCGAGCGAAUGGAUUAAGAGCUUGCUCUUAUGAAGUUAGCGGCGGACGGGUGAGUAACACGUGGGUAACCUGCCCAUAAGACUGGGAUAACUCCGGGAAACCGGGGCUAAUACCGGAUAACAUUUUGGACCGCAUGGUUCGAAAUUGAAAGGCGGCUUCGGCUGUCACUUAUGGAUGGACCCGCGUCGCAUUAGCUAGUUGGUGAGGUAACGGCUCACCAAGGCAACGAUGCGUAGCCGACCUGAGAGGGUGCUCGGCCACACUGGGACUGCGACACGGCCCAGACUCCUACGGGAGGCAGCAGUAGGGAAUCUUCCGCAAUGGACGAAAGUCUGACGGAGCAACGCCGCGUGAGUGAUGAAGGCUUUCGGGUCGUAAAACUCUGUUGUUAGGGAAGAACAAGUGCUAGUUGAAUAAGCUGGCACCUUGACGGUACCUAACCAGAAAGCCACGGCUAACUACGUGCCAGCCGCCGCAGUAA
rnacentral:rRNA from 1 species